rnacentral:rRNA from 1 species
AGAGUUUGAUCCUGGCUCAGGAUGAACGCUGGCGGCGUGCUUAACACAUGCAAGUCGAACGGAGUGCUCAUGACGGAGGAUUCGUCCAACGGAUUGAGUUACUUAGUGGCGGACGGGUGAGUAACGCGUGAGGAACCUGCCUCGGAGUGGGGAAUAACAGCCCGAAAGGGUUGCUAAUACCGCAUGAUGCAGUUGGGUCGCAUGACCCUGACUGCCAAAGAUUUAUCGCUCUGAGAUGGCCUCGCGUCUGAUUAGCUAGUAGGCGGGGUAACGGCCCACCUAGGCGACGAUCAGUAGCCGGACUGAGAGGUUGACCGGCCACAUUGGGACUGAGACACGGCCCAGACUCCUACGGGAGGCAGCAGUGGGGAAUAUUGGGCAAUGGGCGCAAGCCUGACCCAGCAACGCCGCGUGAAGGAAGAAGGCUUUCGGGUUGUAAACUUCUUUUCUCAGGGACGAAGCAAGUGACGGUACCUGAGGAAUAAGCCACGGCUAACUACGUGCCAGCAGCCGCGGUAAUACGUAGGUGGCAAGCGUUAUCCGGAUUUACUGGGUGUAAAGGGCGUGUAGGCGGGACUGCAAGUCAGAUGUGAAAACUAUGGGCUCAACCCAUAGCCUGCAUUUGAAACUGUAGUUCUUGAGUGCUGGAGAGGCAAUCGGAAUUCCGUGUGUAGCGGUGAAAUGCAUAGAUAUACGGAGGAACACCAGUGGCGAAGGCGGAUUGCUGGACAGUAACUGACGCUGAGGCGCGAAAGCGUGGGGAGCAAACAGGAUUAGAUACCCUGGUAGUCCACGCCGUAAACGAUGGAUACUAGGUGUGGGGGGUCUGACCCCCUCCGUGCCGCAGUUAACACAAUAAGUAUCCCACCUGGGGAGUACGAUCGCAAGGUUGAAACUCAAAGGAAUUGACGGGGGCCCGCACAAGCGGUGGAGUAUGUGGUUUAAUUCGAAGCAACGCGAAGAACCUUACCAGGGCUUGACAUCCCGGUGACCGCUCUAGAGAUAGAGUUUCCCUUCGGGGCACCGGUGACAGGUGGUGCAUGGUUGUCGUCAGCUCGUGUCGUGAGAUGUUGGGUUAAGUCCCGCAACGAGCGCAACCCUUAUUGUUAGUUGCUACGCAAGAGCACUCUAGCGAGACUGCCGUUGACAAAACGGA